rnacentral:rRNA from 1 species
GACGGAGGAUGCAAGUGUUAUCCGGAAUCAUUGGGCGUAAAGCGCACGUAGGCGGUUCGUUAUGUCGGAUGUGAAAGCCCUUGGCUUAACCGAGGAAGUGCAUCCGAAACUGGCGAGCUAGAGUACGAAAGAGGAUCGCGGAAUUCCCGGUGUAGAGGUGAAAUUCGUAGAUAUCGGGAGGAACACCGGUGGCGAAGGCGGCGAUCUGGGUCGAUACUGACGCUGAGGUGCGAAAGCGUGGGGAGCAAACAGGG